GAUGAACGCUGGCGGCGUGCUUAACACAUGCAAGUCGAACGAUGAAGCCCAGCUUGCUGGGUGGAUUAGUGGCGAACGGGUGAGUAACACGUGAGUACCCUGCCCUUAACUCUGGGAUAAGCCUGGGAAACUGGGUCUAAUACCGGAUAGGAGCGUCCACCGCAUGGUGGGUGUUGGAAAGAUUUAUCGGUUUUGGAUGGACUCGCGGCCUAUCAGCUUGUUGGUGAGGUAAUGGCUCACCAAGGCGACGACGGGUAGCCGGCCUGAGAGGGUGACCGGCCACACUGGGACUGAGACACGGCCCAGACUCCUACGGGAGGCAGCAGUGGGGAAUAUUGCACAAUGGGCGAAAGCCUGAUGCAGCGACGCCGCGUGAGGGAUGACGGCCUUCGGGUUGUAAACCUCUUUCAGUAGGGAAGAAGCGAAAGUGACGGUACCUGCAGAAGAAGCACCGGCUAACUACGUG
rnacentral:rRNA from 1 species